rnacentral:rRNA from 1 species
GAGCGUGAAUUGAGUAUGUAGAGGAAGUAAAAGUCGUAAGAAGGUUUCCGUAGGUGAACCUGCGGAAGGAGUCAUUA